UACAGAGGUCCCAAGCGUUGUUCGGAUUCACUGGGCGUAAAGGGUGCGUAGGUGGUUGUGCAAGUCUGAUGUGAAAUCUCCGGGCUCAACCCGGAAAUGGCAUUGGAAACUGCAUGGCUAGAGGGUUGGAGGGGACUGGAAUACUUGGUGUAGCAGUGAAAUGCGUAGAUAUCAAGUGGAACACCAGUGGCGAAGGCGAGUCCCUGGACAACACCUGACACUGAGGCACGAAAGCUAGGGGAGCAAACAGG
rnacentral:rRNA from 1 species